GACAGAGGGUGCAAACGUUGCUCGGAAUCACUGGGCGUAAAGGGCGCGUAGGCGGGGAUGUAAGUCGGGCGUGAAAUCCCUAGGCUCAACCUAGGAACUGCACUCGAAACUGCGUUUCUUGAGUAUCGGAGAGGAAAGCGGAAUUCCUGGUGUAGAGGUGAAAUUCGUAGAUAUCAGGAGGAACACCAGUGGCGAAGGCGGCUUUCUGGACGGUAACUGACGCUGAGGCGCGAAAGCGUGGGGAGCAAACAGGAUUAGAUACCCUGGUAGUCCACGCUGUAAACGAUGAGCGCUAGGUGUCGUGGGUAUUGACCCCCGCGGUGCCGAAGCUAACGCAUUAAGCGCUCCGCCUGGGAAGUACGGUCGCAAGACUAAA
rnacentral:rRNA from 1 species